rnacentral:piRNA from 1 species
UUCAGGGAUAUUAUGCUUCCG